rnacentral:rRNA from 1 species
UACGUAGGUGACCAGCGUUGUCCGGAUUUACUGGGCGCAAAGAGCGCGCAGGCGGUCGUUCAAGUCGCGUGUGAAAGCCCCCGGCUCAACUGGGGAGGGUCACGCGAUACUGAUCGACUCGAAGGCAGGAGAGGGUAGUGGAAUUCCCGGUGUAGUGGUGAAAUGCGUAGAUAUCGGGAGGAACACCAGUGGCGAAGGCGACUACCUGGCCUGUUCUUGACGCUGAGGCGCGAAAGCUAGGGGAGCAAACGGG